rnacentral:rRNA from 1 species
UACGUAGGGUGCAAGCGUUAAUCGGAAUUACUGGGCGUAAAGCGUGCGCAGGCGGUUUUGUAAGUCUGUCGUGAAAUCCCCGGGCUCAACCUGGGAAUUGCGAUGGAGACUGCAAGGCUGGAGUCUGGCAGAGGGGGGGUAGAAUUCCACGUGUAGCAGUGAAAUGCGUAGAGAUGUGGAGGAACACCGAUGGCGAAGGCAGCCCCCCUGGGUCAAGACUGACGCUCAUGCACGAAAGCGUGGGGGAGCAAACAGG